GCCGGGCAUGGUGGCACACGCCUUUAAUCCCAGCACUUGGGAGGCAGAGGCAGGUGGAUUUCUGAGUUCGAGGCCAGCCUGGUCUACAAAGUGAGNCCAGGGCUAUACAGAGAAACAGAGAAACCCUGUCUCAAAAAAAACCAAAAAAAAAAAAAAAAAAAAAAAAAAAAAAGACAGGAUCUUACUUUGUAGCCUUGUCUGGUCUAGAACUCAGUAUGUAGACCAGGCUGGCCCCGAACUCACAGAGAUCUGCUUGCUUCU
ensembl:misc_RNA Gm22662 predicted gene, 22662